GUGGUGGAGGAGAAAGAGACAGAAAGGAAGGAGAGAGGGAAGAAGGUGGUGGAGGAGAAAGAGACAGAAAGGAAGGAGAGAGGGAAGAAGGUGGUGGAGGAGAAAGAGACAGAAAGGAAGGAGACAGGGAAGAAGGUGGUGGAGGAGAAAGAGACAGAAAGGAAGGAGACAGGGAAGAAGGUGGUGGAGGAGAAAGAGACAGAAAGGAAGGAGACAGGGAAGAAGGUGGUGGAGGAGAAAGAGACAGAAAGGAAGGAGACAGGGAAGAAGGUGGUGGAGGAGAAAGAGACAGAAAGGAAGGAGACAGGGAAGAAGGUGGUGGAGGAGAAAGAGACAGAAAGGAAGGAGACAGGGAAGAAGGUGGUGGAGGAGAAAGAGACAGAAAGGAAGGAGACAGGGAAGAAGGUGGUGGAGGAGAAAGAGACAGAAAGGAAGGAGACAGGGAAGAAGGUGGUGGAGGAGAAAGAGAUAGAAAGGAAGGAGACAGGGAAGAAGGUGGUGGAGGAGAAAGAAAGAAAGGAAGGAGAGAGGGAAGAAGGUGGUGGAGAAGAAAGAGACAGAAAGGAAGGAGACAGGGAAGAAGGUGGUGGAGAAGAAAGAGACAGAAAGGGAGGAGAAAGAGAAGGCAGUGGUGGCGGGACCAGUAGGAGAAGGAGUGAAGGAGUGGGGGGACAGUAAAGAGGUGAGAUCACGGGUGGAGGAGCUGAGGGAGAUGGUGGGGGGGCUGCCGGACAAUAUGAAUGAAGCGAGGGGGUGCUUGACGGACGCGGAAAGGAAUGUUCCCUGGCUGCGCCCUCCACCAAUAAAGAGACCUAAGAAGGG
rnacentral:lncRNA from 1 species